rnacentral:rRNA from 1 species
UACGUAGGGACCAAGCGUUGUCCGGAAUCAUUGGGCGUAAAGCGCGCGUAGGUGGCCAUUUAAGUCCGCUGUGAAAGUCAGAGGCUCAACCUUUGAAAGCCGGUGGAUACUGGAUGGCUAGAGUACGGAAGAGGCGAGUGGAAUUCCCGGUGUAGCGGUGAAAUGCGCAGAUAUCGGGAGGAACACCUAUGGCGAAGGCAGCUCGCUGGGACGUUACUGACGCUGAGACGCGAAAGCGUGGGGAGCAAACAGG